rnacentral:rRNA from 1 species
GACGAACGCUGGCGGCGUGCCUAAUACAUGCAAGUCGAACGCAUUUUCUUUCACCGUAGCUUGCUACACCGAAAGAAAAUGAGUGGCGAACGGGUGAGUAACACGUGGGUAACCUGCCCAUCAGCGGGGGAUAACACUUGGAAACAGGUGCUAAUACCGCAUAAUUCCAUUUACUGCAUGGUAGAUGGAUGAAAGGCGCUUUUGCGUCACUGAUGGAUGGACCCGCGGUGCAUUAGCUAGUUGGUGGGGUAACGGCCUACCAAGGCUGCGAUGCAUAGCCGGCCUGAGAGGGUGAUCGGCCACACUGGGACUGGGACACGGCCCAGACUCCUACGGGAGGCAGCAGUAGGGAAUCUUCGGCAAUGGACGCAAGUCUGACCGAGCAACGCCGCGUGAGUGAAGAAGGUUUUCGGAUCGUAAAACUCUGUUGUUAGAAAAGAACAAGGAUGAGAGUGGAAAGUUCAUCCCUUGACGGUAUCUAAACAGAAAGCCACGGCUAACUACGUG